rnacentral:rRNA from 1 species
UACGAGGGGGCUAGCGUUGCUCGGAAUCACUGGGCGUAAAGCGCACGUAGGCGGCUUCUUAAGUCAGGGGUGAAAUCCUGGAGCUCAACUCCAGAACUGCCUUUGAUACUGAGGAGCUUGAGUCCGGGAGAGGUGAGUGGAACUGCGAGUGUAGAGGUGAAAUUCGUAGAUAUUCGCAAGAACACCAGUGGCGAAGGCGGCUCACUGGCCCGGUACUGACGCUGAGGUGCGAAAGCGUGGGGAGCAAACAGG